rnacentral:miRNA from 1 species
UGAGAGCUCACUGAAGUCUGC